rnacentral:lncRNA from 1 species
AAGAUCACGCCAUUGCACUCCAGCCUGGGCGACAGAGCGAGACUCCGUCUCAAAAAAAAAAGAAAUACAGUCAUGCACAGCAUAGUGACCUUUCAGUCAACAACAUUUAUGAAGAUGGUUGCAAAGAUUACACCAAACUUUUACUGCACCUUUCCUAUGUUCAGAUACUCACAUACUCAGCAUCGUACUACAACUGCCCACAGUAUUCAGUACAGCAACCUGCUGUGCAGGUUUUAGCCCAGGAGCAACAGGCUAUGCCACACAGCCUAGGGUGUAGCAGGCUAUGCUAUCUAGGUCUGUGUGAGUACAUUCUAUGGUGUUCACACCACAACGACAUCGCCAAACAAUGCAUCUCUCAGAACAUAUCCCCUUCGUUAAGUUACAUAUGACUGGUUUUUCUGUCUCCCCAUUCCUAUCAGGUGUCGCUUCUUGCUGCUCUCAAGCCCUACUCCCCAUGCUUCUGCUUCUAGCUUGCUGGGAGCUGGGAAACUGACCAAGCAUGGAAAACUACAGGAUAUAUUUACUGGAUUGGAAAGCCACAGAAUCAUCGGAAUACUUGGAGGACAGCUAAAAUGGAAAAAGGCCUUAAAAUGAUGGCAUCAGGCAAAAUGAAUAGCAGGAGAAGGUGCUGUAUUUGGGGGAAUCUGAUGCAGCACAUGGGGAAAUGUGGAGAAAGGGAACAUGCAGCCACAAACACUUACACAAGCCCUUAUGGCCAAUGAGCAUCAGAAGCGACCAGGAAGACACUCCGAAAGAUUCUAGAGGAAUGGCUUGAGAAUGUCAGGAGAUGGCAACUAACCCAAACCAAGGCCAGGUAAGACUUUCAGAGCGUUAGAAAACCUCAUAAAGAGGCUGUCUGUGAUCUCAAGGAAGUAAACCUCAGCAAGAACACUUUGGCAGGUGACAUGGAAUGGAAAUAAGGCCAGGAAGGGUGAAGAGAAGACUGGGAAACAAGAGGAAUUCAUGGCACACCCAAUACAUGUUGUGAUACAGCUCA